rnacentral:lncRNA from 1 species
ACUUCAGGAGGGGAAGAGAGGAAGUGCGCUGGGCAAAGAGGAAACGAUGUCACAGGACACACUUUUGCUGUCUUUGCUGCUGUCGCCUAAGAGGUGGACACAGCUCCCGAGGACUUACGCUAGAAGCCAAGCCAGUCUCCUCACCUGAAAAAUGGGAAGAGCAAAAUAUCCUACCCUAGAGGGUUGCUGUGAGAGCCGAAAGCGUCUAUCCACGUGAAGCACAUGGGACAGAGCCUGGCACAAAGAAAAUGCUUCCCAUGGUUUCAUGUACAGUCCUGCCUUACCCCGGUUGUCUUCCUUGUUGCCUGUGACCAUGUCUUCUCACUGUA